GAAACACUGAGGGGAUGGAUGGGCCACACCUGAGCAUCCCCAGGACCGAGGAAAACACUGAGGGGCUGGAUAGGCCACACCUGAGCAUCCUCAGGACUGAGGGAAACACUGAGGGGGUGGAUGGACCACACUUGAGUGACCCCAGGACAGAGGGAAACACUGACGGGAUGGAUGGGCCACAUCUGAGAGUUCCCAGGGCCGACAUAAAAAACCUAUUGGGAUAGACCAAACCUGUGAGUCCCCAGGGUGCAGUAAACACUAAAUUAAUAGACCACACCUGAGGGUCUCGAGGACCGAGGUAAAACACUCAGGGGAUGGAUGGGCCAUAUCUGAGGGCCCCCAGGACAAAGGUAAACAAUAAGGGGAUGGGCCACACCUCAGGGUCCCCAGGACAGAGGUAAACACUAAGCGGAUGGAUGAACCACAACUGAGAUUCCCCAGAAUAGAGAUAAAACACUUUGGGGAUCGACCACAUCUGAGGGGCCCAAGGCAGAGGUAAACACUAAAGAAAUGGAUGGACCACACCUAAGGGUUCCCAGGAUAGAUGUAAACACUAAUGGGACGGAUAGACCACACCUGAGAGUCUCGAGGACAAUGGAAAAACACUAAUGGGAUGGAUUGACCACAACUGAGGGUCCCCAGGACAGAGGUAAACACUAAUGGGAUGGAUAGACCACACCUCAGGGUCUCCAGGACAGAGGUAAAAACC
rnacentral:lncRNA from 1 species